rnacentral:lncRNA from 1 species
GGAUAGUUUACUACAUCUCCCUCCUGAUAUAUCAAACAGAUCAUGGAAGAUUUGAGGCAUUAAAGAUUUGCUUGACAAACCCCUGGAAAAUUCUGAUGAGUUACAGGUUACCUCUUGGAGUUAAGAGACCAGAACUGAAGAACAGAACCAGAUCCAAAUGGCACAAAAGUAACAGCAGCUUGAAGAACUACUGAGUACCAAGUGCACACAACCGAGCACAAAGCUACUUGGAAUGAUCCCAUCCCACAGAUUUCUGAAGUGCUGUGGUUCCACCAAGUCUGCAGGUAGAGCUUAAACCCAGACCAUCUCUGUGCAUUUGCAGUAAGGAGCCCGGUACCAGCUCUAACAAAGAAUGAGACAAAUAAAUAAUUAAUUUAUUAAAGUUAUAUAAAGUAC